rnacentral:lncRNA from 1 species
UUGCAGUGACUUAGUUUCUAAGUCCUGUGGCCUCACCUAACAAUUAUUGGUACAUUUCUUAGUUAAGUCCGACCCACCAUUCAUCAGUGAGUGCAAAGCCGUCAUUGGAUCCCUCAAUAGUUAUUGGGUCCAACUGCAUCUUUAUCCCAAGGCAUCUGAUGUCAAUAGAGUAGUUGUACCUUCUUGAUGCAACCGAACCACUGUAACC